rnacentral:rRNA from 1 species
UACGUAGGGGGCAAGCGUUGUCCGGAUUUAUUGGGCGUACAGAGCGUGUAGGCGGCCAGGUAGGUCCGCUGUGAAAACUCGAGGCUCAACCUCGAGAUGUCGGCGGAAACCAUCUGGCUAGAGUCCGGAAGAGGAGAGUGGAAUUCCUGGUGUAGCGGUGAAAUGCGCAGAUAUCAGGAAGAACACCCGUGGCGAAGGCGGCUCUCUGGGACGGUACUGACGCUGAGACGCGAAAGCGUGGGGAGCGAACAGG